UCCGUCGUCUGCAAGCGGUGGCGAUGCGCUGUCACCGACCCAAGGUUCCACCGCCGCUUCUGUCAACACCACCGGAAGCCGCCACUCCUCGGUUUCUUCGUACAAGACGGGGAUGGUUUGCUGUUCAAACCCGCCAUGGGCCCUCCCGACCGUAUCCCCAGUCGGCGCUUCAACCUGCGACUCCACAACAUUUGCGGCGGCACCGGUCGGCUGCUCGGGUGCCGCCACGGCCGCGUCCUCGUCAUAGACUCGCUGCACAAAGUGCUUAUUGUCAUUGCACCCAUCACCGGGACCAAGCUCUGUGUGCCCUUUCCGCCCAAGUUGAAAGGGGACAGCUUCAUCACCGGGACGGUGCUCUGCGCUGCUGCUGACCAUGACCACGUGCACGGAAGCUGCCACUUGAGCCCUGGUCCUGCUGUACUUGAGCAUCAGAGGUCCACAGCCCGCCUUUGCACAUGUUUACUCCUCAGAGACCGAUGUAUGGAGCGACCUCAUCUCAACACCGACUCCACCUAAGUUUUGUCAUACUGAUAGUCAUGCUUCACUUAUUGGUAAUGCACUUUACUGGCUGUGCAGAGGUGGAGAUUACAUACUUAGGUUUGAUUUGGAUGGGCACAACCUAGCUGUGAUCAGAGCGCCUCCCAUUACAAAUGAUGUCUGCUACCACAAUGGCAGCCAUCAGAUCAUUCAGGCUGUGGAUGGCGCCGUUGGUCUUGCCAUAUUGUCUGAUAAUGGCCAUACCAUUCAAAUGUGGCAAAAGGAGGUCAAUUCCCAGAGUGUUAACAAAUGGUUGUUGUGGCAGACCAUUGAAAUGCAUAACAUUCAUGGGUUACAUGCUCAGAUUGAAGGAAAGAAGGCAAGGUUAAUAUGUAUACUGGGAUAUGCUGAGGAUACUGAUGGAAUACUUUUAUAUAUGGACGACGGUGUCUAUAUGGUUCAACUAAAGUUGAUGCAAUCUAGAAAACUUUGUGAAAGGCCCCCAAAAAAUCAUUAUCAUUCUUUCGAGAGUUUCUAUAUGCCAGCCAUUGCUCGUGGAUGUGAUGGAGCUGAAAUGUUGCAUGAGUAAUAUCUGGCAGUCAAUGGGAGGAAAGAGCUGCUGCUGUACUACUUUCCUGAUAAUGAGUUCAUCGUGCUUUCAAUGUGGUCGGCAGAGUUUAUGUUAUAUGAAGGAACUUUACUAAAUGCAUCUGCCUUAGUCUAGCUAAGUUUCGAAUGUAGCAAGAUGCUUUUGAAUACCCUAGCUAGUAUUAUUUCAAGUCGGAUUUUGUGGUCCUUUGGUUUAUGUAUGUAGUUGUGUUUGGCAGCUCUUCUCUUCGGCCGUGACAAUUUCAGAUUUUCAGUCCCAAGUAUCGCCAAAACUUGUGUGUUUAAGUGUGCUUCUCAGCUUUGGUUUGAAGAGCACGAUAGUGCCAUCGACCUAA